GACGUAGGAGGCGAGCGUUGUCCGGAUUCAUUGGGCGUAAAGAGCACGCAGGCGGCUUGGUAAGUCGGAUGUGAAAUCCCGAGGCUCAACCUCGGGUCUGCAUCCGAUACUGCCCGGCUAGAGGUAGGUAGGGGAGAUCGGAAUUCCUGGUGUAGCGGUGAAAUGCGCAGAUAUCAGGAGGAACACCGGUGGCGAAGGCGGAUCUCUGGGCCUUACCUGACGCUCAGGCGCGAAAGCUAGGGGAGCGAACUGG
rnacentral:rRNA from 1 species